GCCGGUAUAGCUCAGCUGGUAGAGCAUCUGAUUUGUAAUCAGAGGGUCGGGGGUUCGAGUCCCUCUGCCGGCACC
rnacentral:tRNA from 1 species